CGGAUUUACAAUUUGGAGAGAGAGAGAGACAUAAAUAAUAAAAAGAAGAGAAAAUCUCAUUUUUGUUUAAAUAUCGAAAUAAGUUAUCCAGUAAUAAUUUAUUCUAUAUAAAAAUAUUCUAAUAUGAUUGUAAGUAAGAAAUUUGAUUUUUAUUAUCCAUAAUUUGAUAGAAUAACAUAUUUCACCUGAGAGGUAAUUUAUCUUACCCCUAAAAAUAAUUAAAAGAUCGAAUAUAAUAUCCAAUUUUAAAUAUUUGAUCCUACACCUUAUCAAUCAAAUAUAAAAAAAUUUUAAAUAAAUUAAAGAGAUAUACUGAAUAACUUAGUU
rnacentral:lncRNA from 1 species